AAGUAGAGAAACCAAGCAAAAUAUGUGAAAGAUGCAGCGAACAAAUCAAACACAGAAACACCAAGAUUUACGUGGAAAACCUCCUCAAUAUGAGGAGUAAAAACCACGGCCCGACACCCACAACUUCCACUAUAAUCAAAUAAUGGGAAUACACAAGAUUCCUCUCUAGUUAUCAACAACCAGAGGCAUACAUCAACUUUUCAACACAAUAAAUCAUCAAGAAUCAAUAUUCUUGGCAGCCACAAACAUCUAAUGAUGCAACA
rnacentral:lncRNA from 1 species